AGAUUUUCAAAAUUGACCUAUAGAGACAAUAGCUCAACAACAUCAUAAUCUCAUAUUCAAGUAAGCAAGAAUAACAACUUUCCCUUUCUAUUUGCCUACUGGUAUCUAUGGGAGUCCAUAGGGAUGUCCCACUAUGCGUGAACCAACAUCCAACCUUACCAACUAACGGGCUGUCCCCAUACCCUGUCCGGCAUGAGUGCUAAAAAUACCAUCCCUCAAUACCCUGUUCGGUAUGAGGGUGAAACAGGCCGUCCCCAUACCCCGUCCGGUAUGAAUGCCAAAAAUACCAAUUCUCGAUACCCCGUCCGGUAUGAGGGUGAAAC
rnacentral:lncRNA from 1 species